rnacentral:rRNA from 1 species
AUGCACGCUGGCGGCGUGCUUAACACAUGCAAGUCGAACGAAGCAUUUGCGACAGAUUUUUUCGGAAUGAAGUUGCUUAUGACUGAGUGGCGGACGGGUGAGUAACGCGUGGGUAACCUGCCUUGUACUGGGGGAUAGCAGCUGGAAACGGCUGGUAAUACCGCAUAAGCGCACAAUGUUGCAUGACAUGGUGUGAAAAACUCCGGUGGUAUAAGAUGGACCCGCGUCUGAUUAGCUAGUUGGUGAGAUAGCAGCCCACCAAGGCGACGAUCAGUAGCCGACCUGAGAGGGUGACCGGCCACAUUGGGACUGAGACACGGCCCAGACUCCUACGGGAGGCAGCAGUGGGGAAUAUUGCACAAUGGAGGAAACUCUGAUGCAGCGACGCCGCGUGAGUGAAGAAGUAAUUCGUUAUGUAAAGCUCUAUCAGCAGGGAAGAUAGUGACGGUACCUGACUAAGAAGCUCCGGCUAAAUACGUG